AGGAUGAACGCUAGCGACAGGCUUAACACAUGCAAGUCGAGGGGCAGCACGGGAGUAGCAAUACUUGGUGGCGACCGGCGCACGGGUGAGUAACGCGUAUGCAACCUACCUAUCAGGAGGGGAACUAACCGGCGAAAGUCGGACUAAUACCGCAUAAAACAGGGGCACCGCAUGGUGAUAUUUGUUAAAGAAAUUCGCUGAUAGAUGGGCAUGCGUUCCAUUAGGUAGUUGGUGAGGUAACGGCUCACCAAGCCGACGAUGGAUAGGGAACUGAGAGGUUGGUCCCCCACACUGGUACUGAGACACGGACCAGACUCCUACGGGAGGCAGCAGUGAGGAAUAUUGGUCAAUGGGCGGGAGCCUGAACCAGCCAAGUCGCGUGAAGGAAGAAGGAUCUAUGGUUCGUAAACUUCUUUUGCAGGGGAAUAAAGUGCAGGACGUGUCCUGUUUUGUAUGUACCCUGAGAAUAAGGAUCGGCUAACUCCGUGCCAGCCGCUGC
rnacentral:rRNA from 1 species